rnacentral:rRNA from 1 species
AGUGGCGAACGGGUGAGUAACGCGUGAGGAACCUGCCUCAAAGAGGGGGACAACAGUUGGAAACGACUGCUAAUACCGCAUAAGCCCACGGGUCGGCAUCGACCAGAGGGAAAAGGAGCAAUCCGCUUUGAGAUGGCCUCGCGUCCGAUUAGCUAGUUGGUGAGGUAAUGGCCCACCAAGGCGACGAUCGGUAGCCGGACUGAGAGGUUGAACGGCCACAUUGGGACUGAGACACGGCCCAGACUCCUACGGGAGGCAGCAGUGGGGAAUAUUGCACAAUGGGGGGAACCCUGAUGCAGCGAUGCCGCGUGGAGGAAGAAGGUUUUCGGAUUGUAAACUCCUGUUGAAGAGGACGAUAAUGACGGUACUCUUUUAGAAAGCUCCGGCUAACUACGUGCCAGCAGCCGCGGUAAUACGUAGGGAGCGAGCGUUGUCCGGAAUUACUGGGUGUAAAGGGAGCGUAGGCGGGAUGGCAAGUCAGAUGUGAAAACUAUGGGCUCAACCCAUAGACUGCAUUUGAAACUGUUGUUCUUGAGUGAGGUAGAGGUAAGCGGAAUUCCUGGUGUAGCGGUGAAAUGCGUAGAGAUGGGGAGGAACACCAGUGGCGAAGGCGGCCUGCUGGGCUUUAACUGACGCUGAGGCACGAAAGCGUGGGUAGCAAACAGGAUUAGAUACCCUGGUAGUCCACGCUGUAAACGAUGAUUACUAGGUGUGGGGGGUCUGACCCCUUCCGUGCUGGAGUUAACACAAUAAGUAAUCCACCUGGGGAGUGCGGCCGCAAGGUUGAAACUCAAAGGAAUUGACGGGGGCCCGCACAAGCAGUGGAGUAUGUGGUUUAAUUCGAAGCAACGCGAAGAACCUUACCAGGUCUUGACAUCCUACUAACGAGAUAGAGAUAUGUUAGGUGCCCUUCGGGGAAAGUAGAGACAGGUGGUGCAUGGUUGUCGUCAGCUCGUGUCGUGAGAUGUUGGGUUAAGUCCCGCAACGAGCGCAACCCUUGAUAUUAGUUGCUACGCAAGAGCACUCUAAUAGGACUGCCGUUGACAAAACGGAGGAAGGUGGGGACGACGUCAAAUCAUCAUGCCCCUUAUGACCUGGGCUACACACGUACUACAAUGGACAUUAACAGAGGGAAGCAAUACAGUGAUGUGGAGCAAACCCCUAAAAAUGUUCUCAGUUCAGAUUGCAGGCUGCAACCCGCCUGUAUGAAGAUGGAAUUGCUAGUAAUCGCAGAUCAGCAUGCUGCGG